GACGAGUGGUGAGCGCCUCAACAAGCUACGUUGUCCGAAUCUCGCUGUUUCUUUACCGAAAUCCAAAAUGGUGUACACAGGAUACAUAUUCAUAUAAUAACAACAAAGUCUGGAGUACUGGAAGUGAACCUCGUGCUUCAUUAACAGCACCGGAAACGGCCGGAAGGGAAUGUGAAACCAUGUUAUAUUGAGUAACAAUCUUAAUUGGUAGUCAAGCAACGAGUCCUGCUUUCAGAAUUCAUGUUACUGGAUGACAUUUCCACCUGGGCCAGUGUGGCUGGAGACGCAUCCGGAAUCCUGGUCUCGCAGCGCGGUGGAGAGAAGACGCUGCCUUCGCCAUCCGGGUCUGGAGGUUCCUGGCUCUGGCACUCGUUCCGCAGGCCGACGUCCACCACUACGUCAGGAUACUCCUUGCGGAUGAAAUUUCCAAGGACGAUGGGCUUCUGGACUUCGCAAAAUAUUUCCAAGAAACCCGUGUUGGCCAGCUGAUUCGCGGUGACAUGGAAAUUCCUGGGAAAUUUUCCUGUAAGACUUGGAACACGUAUCAACGAGUGAAGGAUGAUCUGCCCUAGAACAAACGAUGCGUCGGAAGGAUGGCACAAGGGGUCUGCCAGGAUGCUGCCGGACCCGAGGUCUCCUUCCUUCCUUCUUUCACUUCUUUCUUUCCUUCCUUCACUUCCUCCCUGCCUUCAUUUUUC